AGAGGAAUACUGCAUUGCUGAACAAUAUACAAAGUGAUGGAUCAUUUGUGAAGGGUUGGAUAUUGAAUUAAAGGUAGAAAAGGAAAGAGAGGAGGACGCUCCCUCAAAAGGGUAGAGUAGAAAAAGGUUCACCUGUGACCAAAUCAUUCAGGGACAGCUGUGCAUCAUCACCUCGUUAAGCACUGAUAGGUCAGCUGGGGGCUGGCAACAUUUAAAAACCCUCCACAUAGAUUUGGUCUGCAGUGGAGUCGUCCCAUUGUAAUUAUGACAGCAAUCCUCUUUACAUGGGUCUUCCUCCAAGCUAUCCUGCUUUGGGAUAUCGAAUGUAGCCCUAUUAAAAAAGGGUUUGCCCCACAAUAUAAAGGCGGGUAUUCUCAAGAUCCGUGGGGGGCCCAACCCAAAGAGCAGCUGUACCCCAGCCAUGAAACCUCUGGCUCCAUGUCUGGACCCGGUGCACAGGGUUUGUCCUCGGGGGCGCUGCCUUCUCCUCCCCCUACAGGAUUCAACGGAGGCUAUUCUUCCCCAACGGGCUCAUCUCGAGGCUCCUGGGCAAUUCCUCCACGCACGUUCUCUGGUGGGUCAAGAGCCGCUUCUGACGGUCACGCUGGCCCCAAGGGACAAAUGGCCGGCCCCAGAAGUGCACCCCCACCUGGACCAGAGUUCAUCCCAGGAGAGCUGCUCAACAUCGAGAGCACAAUGGAGGACGGACACUAUGAGUCUGAGACCCAGGAACGCGGUGUACCCCCACCGCCAUCGUAUGAAGCUGCUGUAGGUCAGGCUGAGGCCUUCCCCAGCCCUGCAGCCCUUAUGCCCCAGGCUUCAUUAGGGUAUUUCUACCCUUACGAUGCGAUGUUCAUCACUGGCCAGUAUCCUCCGGGAACCUACACCCAGUCCAGCAGUAGUGUUGAGCGUGGCAGAGAUGACUGGCAGGAAAACCGUUACAUCCGAUAUGACUACCCUGCCAAGAACCAGGAACAGCAGAUGCAGAGUUACUCACAAUACUCGGAUCAGAGCUACCAGCCGGCUGAGCCAGAAGGACCUGGAAAAGGCCAGGAUGUGGAGCAGCAGUUCCAGGCCUAUGAAGGUCAAUGGGUAGGCUGAGACCACCAGAUGUGGAGCCUGGCUGGGACAAUGGGAUUCCAUGUAGGGUUCAAGAACUUCUUUCUCCGUAGAUGCAAUGUCUUUCUGGUGGUGGAAACUUCAUGCAUUUGAUUUGAUGGUCAAUAAAGUUACAAAUUCUACAUCAGAAGGCCCCUUUUUUUCAUAUAUUUGUGCUGCGAACUACAAGCUUAUGCCUCGCUAUAUGCACAUUUUAUGCGUCUGAAAUAAUAAUUUUGGCUGGGGGCUUCGAAUUAUAAUAUUGGUGGCUAAUAUUGGAGUCGUCUUCCCUAUAAAAUGCCUCCAUUGGUGAUUCUGUCUACCUGGGACUUGCAGCGUGAAAUGUCUGAACUAGCAUUAAAGAGGCUGCAGUAGCGGUUGGUGUAAAUUGGCGUGGCGACUAUCUGGUGUGUGUGGGUAACGAGGGCUGAUUUGACUUCGGAGACCUUUUGUGGUUGUGAAACGCUCAAUUGCAACAUAAAACUAAUCAUUUUAACUGGCACAGUUUUCUUUUGAAAAGGCAUUUGUUCUUUGACUCGGGGAGAAAAUGCAAUAUCAAAAUAUUGUCAGACGUUAACUGCCGCUAGGCAACUUGUUUGCAACUCGUGAAUGCCGGGGCUGGCACUGUACUUGCGGGAGCAAGACGUUGACACUAAUCUUCAAAUAAAAUUAUCUUUUAAAUCAUAACGCAUCACUAAUUUAUUUUUCUUUCAU
ensembl:lncRNA